rnacentral:tRNA from 1 species
GGUCCCAUAGUAUAAUUGGAUAGUACGUCCGCCUCCUAAGCGAUUGAUCCCGGUUCGAUUCCGGGUGGGACCAUAA